rnacentral:rRNA from 1 species
GGAGUGAAAUAGAUCCUGAAACCGUAUGCAUACAAACAGUAGGAGCCUCCUUGUGGGGUGACUGCGUACCUUUUGUAUAAUGGGUCAGCGACUUACAUUCAGUGGCAAGGUUAACCGAAUAGGGAAGCCGUAGCGAAAGCGAGUCCGAAUAGGGCGAUUCAGUCGCUGGGUGUAGACCCGAAACCAGAUGAUCUAUCCAUGGCCAGGUUGAAGGCACGGUAACACGUGCUGGAGGACCGAACCCACUAAUGUUGAAAAAUUAGGGGAUGAGCUGUGGAUAGGGGUGAAAGGCUAAACAAAUCUGGAAAUAGCUGGUUCUCUCCGAAAACUAUUUAGGUAGUGCCUCAAGUAUUACCGUCGGGGGUAGAGCACUGUUUAGGCUAGGGGGUCAUGGCGACUUACCAAACCUAUGCAAACUCCGAAUACCGACGAGUACAGCUUGGGAGACAGAGCACCGGGUGCUAACGUCCGGACUCAAGAGGGAAACAACCCAGACCGCCAGCUAAGGUCCCGAAUUAUCGCUAAGUGGGAAACGAAGUGGGAAGGCUAAAACAGUCAGGAUGUUGGCUUAGAAGCAGCCAUCAUUUAAAGAAAGCGUAAUAGCUCACUGAUCGAGUCGUCCUGCGCGGAAGAUGUAACGGGGCUAAGCGAUAAACCGAAGCUGCGGGUGUGCACUUUUAGUGCACGCGGUAGGAGAGCGUUCUGUAAGCCUGCGAAGGUGGCUUGUAAAGGCUGCUGGAGGUAUCAGAAGUGCGAAUGCUGACAUGAGUAGCGAUAAAGGGGGUGAAAAGCCCCCUCGCCGUAAGCGCAAGGUUUUCUACGCAACGUUCAUCGGCGUAGAGUGAGUCGGCCCCUAAGGCGAGGCAGAGAUGCGUAGCUGAUGGGAAACAGGUCAAUAUUCCUGUACCGAUCAAUAGUGCGAUGUGGGGACGGAGAAGGUUAGCUCAGCCAACUGUUGGAUAUGUUGGUUCAAGCCUGUAGUCGUGCUCGGUAGGCAAAUCCGCCGGGCUUAGAUGAGGGGUGAUAACGAGUCUGCUUGCAGACGAAGUGAGUGAUACCCUGCUUCCAGGAAAAGCCACUAAGCUUCAGCUAUUGACGACCGUACCGCAAACCGACACUGGUGCGCGAGAUGAGUAUUCUAAGGCGCUUGAGAGAACUCAGGAGAAGGAACUCGGCAAAUUGAUACCGUAACUUCGGGAGAAGGUAUGCCCCAAGUAGGUGAACCUGUACAAGGCGAGCCCAACGGGGUUGCAAAAAAUCGGUGGCUGCGACUGUUUAAUAAAAACACAGCACUCUGCAAACACGAAAGUGGACGUAUAGGGUGUGACGCCUGCCCGGUGCUGGAAGAUUAAAUGAUGGGGUGCAAGCUCUUGAUUGAAGUCCCAGUAAACGGCGGCCGUAACAAUAACGGUCCUAAGGUAGCGAAAUUCCUUGUCGGGUAAGUUCCGACCUGCACGAAUGGCGUAACGAUGGCCACACUGUCUCCUCCUGAGACUCAGCGAAGUUGAAAUGUUUGUGAUGAUGCAAUCUCCCCGCGGAAAGACGGAAAGACCCCAUGAACCUUUACUGUAGCUUUGUAUUGGACUUUGAACAGAUCUGUGUAGGAUAGGUGGGAGGCUUUGAAGUGAUGUCGCUAGAUGUCAUGGAGCCAACGUUGAAAUACCACCCUGGUGUGUUUGAGGUUCUAACCUAGGUCCAUUAUCUGGAUCGGGGACAGUGCAUGGUAGGCAGUUUGACUGGGGCGGUCUCCUCCCAAAGCGUAACGGAGGAGUUCGAAGGUACGCUAGUUACGGUCGGACAUCGUGACGAUAGUGCAAUGGCAUAAGCGUGCUUAACUGCGAGACUGACAAGUCGAGCAGAUGCGAAAGCAGGACAUAGUGAUCCGGUGGUUCUGUAUGGAAGGGCCAUCGCUCAACGGAUAAAAGGUACUCUGGGGAUAACAGGCUGAUACCGCCCAAGAGUUCAUAUCGACGGCGGUGUUUGGCACCUCGAUGUCGGCUCAUCUCAUCCUGGGGCUGUAGCCGGUCCCAAGGGUAUGGCUGUUCGCCAUUUAAAGAGGUACGUGAGCUGGGUUUAAAACGUCGUGAGACAGUUUGGUCCCUAUCUUCCGUGGGCGCUGCAGAUUUGAGGAAGCCUGCUCCUAGUACGAGAGGACCGGAGUGGACGUACCUCUGGUGUACCGGUUGUCAUGCCAAUGGCAUUGCCGGGUAGCUAAGUACGGAAGAGAUAACCGCUGAAGGCAUCUAAGCGGGAAACUCGUCUGAAGAUUAGGUAUCCCGGGGACUUGAUCCCCCUAAAGAGUCGUUCGAGACCAGGACGUUGAUAGGUCGGGUGUGGAAGCGCAGUAAUGCGUUAAGCUAACCGAUACUAAUUGCUCGUGAGGCUUGAU